rnacentral:lncRNA from 1 species
UGCGCUUGCGGAAUUAUCCAAUAGUAAAUAGAGUUACCCUACCAGGGCACUUCUGGCGCCGUCGCCGAUAUCUGGUGGUUGCGUUAAGAAGUGUCAACAGUGUAUUUGAAUGUCGGCAGCACUCUGACAGCGAUUAGGAUGUCCUUCGUCUGCUAGUCUUCUUUGAUCCUUGAAUUCUGUGGAGCUCAAAUAGACAACAAAGCUUUGUGGAACUAGUUAAGUGUUAGCAUAAAUAUCUAGCCUUUAUCAUGUUGAGCCUCCUCAAUAAAUGUUACUCAUUAGUAGGAUCAUAAUUUUAUUUUUAUAAUUUUAUUUUUAUAGGACAGGAAUAUAUUUAUUUUAUUUUUAUGCCACCACAGUGAAUGUACUUAUGGGUUUUAUGCCAUGAGCAUACUCACAUGGGGCUUACUAUUUUUAACAUUUUUAUUUUCUUUUCAAGAUGAUAUAAACCUGAUUAACUAAGCAAACUAUUUUAAAAUAAUUGAAAGGAAAAAGAUAACUACCAAGUUUACCUCUUGGCAAGGCGUUUGGUGUUUUUAAGUCCUCCGAACGGGACUCUACGUUUCCUGAGUCAUUCUGGGAUUCGCUGGAUGGCGUAGUCGGUGGUUCCGAUGGUGCUUCCUCUUCUUAUAUAACUAUCUUCUCUUUCCACACCUGACUCGGUGCUACGGUCUCCUCAGGACAGUUCUGUUCAAGUUGUAUGUCUUCAGACCUUACAACUUCUCCUUCAUAGUCUACCUAUCCGUCCUUGAUGAUUUGCCUCCUCUGGUUGCGGUUGUGUCGUCGUCUUCUUGUCCAGACCUGCUUAGAGUCUUCAACUAUAUAGUUAGGGUCAGUAAAAUAGUGGCGUAUCUUCUCUGAGGGGAAGUGCAUGUGGACUUCUCCGGUUCCAAUGUAUAUGAUUGCUUUAAUGGUGCUAAAGAACGGUCUUCCAAGGAUGAUGGGUGGAUCGUACUCGUCUUCUCCCAUGUCAAUAACCUUCAAUCUUUCAGAAUGUCUGAUCUGCCAUCUGGAGCUGAAUGUAUGUCGGUUGUAGGGACAUGGUUCCAUGCAGGAGCUGAUAAGUGACUGGGUCAUCCUUUUUGGUCAGGAAUGGUGACUUCAGUUGAUGAUCUUGACCUCCAUGAACUGCAGUGACCAUCUUAGUUGACUCGGUCCACAUUUGGUUGUUCCUGUUCCUCCUGUUGGUCCUCUUCCUUGGUUCAUGUCGGGAUUGCUCUGAGAUUUGUGUAGUCUUGUUCUUGAAGGAAAAUGUCUCCUUCCUUCCCUUGAUGUAAAAACUGAUCUUGGCAGCACUAGCAUAGAUGACAACUCCUGAGGUAUUUAGGAAUGGCCUCCCUAGGAUGGUGGGUGCCCUCUCAUCAGUACCAGCCUCUGUCACCACAAAGUCUGCUGGGGCGUACAAGGUACCAACUCGGACGCAGAAGUUCUUCAAUAUUCCCUUUGGGAAACUUAGUGUCUGAUCUGCAAGCUAC